CGAGACACGAUUUCACAUAGAUUUAUCUCUGUCCCCAACAGAGUGUAUAUAACAAGACUGUGGAUCACGUCUCCUACUCAUCAUCUAGAAGCUGUCAACCAGACAUAUGCAUUUAGGCAAGAGAGUGGAAGAUUCCUCUAUGGAGAAACUAAACAGUCUAGUAUUCAGAUUGUAAGUCAAGCUGCAACAGUGAUUCUCAAGAUGAAGCUUGCCUUUCAAAGACCAUUCGUGUGUGUGAGAAAUUUGUGA
rnacentral:lncRNA from 10 species